rnacentral:pre_miRNA from 1 species
UAUAAUGUUUUGACUCUUCGUCUUAUUUGAAAUUUUUGCGAUUAAUACUUUUAUUGUUACUUGAUGAUAAAAUAUGAAUAGUACUUUAUGCGUGACUAAUUUUUUAAUUUUUGCACAAAAUUUUCAAAUAAAAUAAAUGGUUAAACGUUGGACAUGGAAAAACA